rnacentral:lncRNA from 1 species
GACGACUGGCCAGAAUAUCACAAACAGAAGAUACAGAUACAUUAUUUACCUGGCCACUUGGAACCAAAGAGAAUCCCGCUUCAACCUGUCGUGAAUUAGGACUUGCACAGCCGCAUCUGACUGAUGGUGAUAAUUAUUUUCUAUAUUUCUAUCUUUAAGUAGAGCAAAUAAAUAUAGCAAUAUUCGUUUAGGAUACUAUUUCAUGGACCCAAACAAUGGCUGUCCAUAUGAUGCAUUGAUGGCAUUCUGCAACUUUACUGCGGGAGGAACAACGUGCUUAGACCCUUUAAAGUCGCAGGUAACUUGAAGUGAAUUUUUUUUACAAAAUGCAUGUUUAAAAAUGCAUUAAGCUAUUUUUGGUCUGUUUGGCUUGCAGAAAAAAGUGUAUUGGAGACCAGAGAGUAAUACAUCCACAAGUACAUUAGUCAGCUGGUUAAGUCAACAACAUGGUGGAAACAAAUUCGACUAUGCAGGACUGGAUGUUGUGCAGCUGAGAUUUCUGCGGUUGCACAGCCACACUUCAUUUCAGCACAUGACACUCAGCUCUAUCGCAAAUCAGUCGUCUUUUCAUGCCACGACUAAUUUUGUAAAAAGGAUUCUCCACAUCCUCGGAAACACUAAUAAAGAAAUUGGUUCAGACUACAUAAAGGGCAGAUGUGGCCGCGAGAUUGAGUUGGUUGUGACAGUGGGGAGCUCAGAGCUGCAUCGCGUUGACAUGGAGUUACUUCCUGUCAGAGAUGUUGGUAUUGAAGUGGGUGAAGCAUUAUUUGAUGUUGAG